GAAGUAAAAGUCGUAACAAGGUUUCUGUAGGUGAACCUGCAGAAGGAUCAUUAGUGAAAGUUUCGGGCCUGCCAUACGGACGCAAACACGUCUCUGGCGCCCAUCACUAUAUCCAUACCAACCCCUGUGCACUGUGAUGACGAAUGUCAUCGAACAAAAAAAACUCGUAUGGUUGAAUGUACGUGAAAUUGUAGGUAUAGCCUACGAACUAUACACAACUUUCGACAACGGAUCUCUUGGUUCUCCCAUCGAUGAAGAACGCAGCGAAACGCGAUAGGUAAUGUGAAUUGCAGAAUUCCGUGAAUCAUCGAAUCUUUGAACGCACCUUGCGCUCCAUGGUAUUCCGUGGAGCAUGCCUGUUUGAGUGCCGCGAAUUCUCCCUCCCCUUACGGUGGCCGAAAGGCCGAAGUAGGGCGGACGGGGUAGGAUGGGUGUUGCUGCCUGGGGAUUGUACCAGGCUCGCCCGAAAUGCAUAAGCGCCAGGACCCUCGCUACCGCUCUCUAGGGAAGAGUGGCUAAGCGACCGCUGAGCAUGGCAUGAUACGUCAUUUGCUGUGUGUGGGCGGCCGGUUGGAGAGGUGUCUGCUUUACCAGCCCUUUUUUAAUUCUGGUCUCAAAUCAGGUAGGAUCACCCGCUGAACUUAAGCAUAUCAAUAAGCGGAGGA
rnacentral:rRNA from 1 species